AAGUCGUAACAAGGUUUCCGUAGGUGAACCUGCGGAAGGAUCAUUUAAUGAGUUUGAACAGGACUUGAUGCUGGUCUGCUCUGGCGGACAUGUGCUCAGUUCUACUCAAUCCAUUCAACACCUGUGCACUUUCAAAGUUGAAGUCCUCCGUCAUGGGAGCUGCGGUCUUGUAAUGAGACUGCUGGGACUUCGCUUUGCCCAUUAUCACAAACCAAUUUGAAGUCUUGUAGAAUGUAACUAGCCUAAGGGCUUAAUCUAAUACAACUUUCAACAACGGAUCUCUUGGCUCUC
rnacentral:misc_RNA from 1 species